GGGAUGUGGUUGAACAGGAAUUGAUCUGUGUUCGUCUGGUCUGGUCUAGGCAUGGCGGUGGAUGACUUCGUCCUGCAGCUGAUUGGCCCGCGCUACACGGAGCCGGACAUGACAAUCAGUUACCCCGGUUUCCUUUAUCUGCUGAUGGAACUGGACAACAUGAUCCAUACAUUUCAAGACUAUGUAUGACAUUGUGGGAAUGGGGACCAUAUCAGUCAGCUACAGACAGUGGCUCCACAUGACGAUAUACAACUGACGAUGGCUCCACAUGACUAUGUACAGUACAACUGACCCGAUGUGCAACUGAUCCAAUCUCACUGGAUUUCAGCCCCUCCUCCGCCUGUUCAACUGGUUUUUGUUGCAAUAUUGUUUAAAAUGAAAAGUUACAGUAGAUUUACUUUGCAAUAAAGACUUCCAGUUAUUUGU